GAUGAACGCUGGCGGCGUGCCUAAUACAUGCAAGUCGAACGCAGUGGGGACGGGUGAGUAACACGUGGGUAACCUCCCAUCAGACGGGAUAACACUUGGAAACAGGUGCUAAACCGAUACUGAUGGAUGGACCCGCGGUGCAUUAGCGAGUUGGUGAGGUAACGGCUCUCCAAGGCCACGAUGCAUAGCUGGCCUGAUAGGGGGAACAGCGAAUCCGGGACUGAGACACGGCCCAGAGGCCGACGGGAGGCAGCAGGAUGGAAUCUUCAACAAUGGGCGAAAGUCUGACCGAGCAACGCCGCGUGUGUGAAGAAGGGGUUCGGAUCGUAAACCACGGUUGUUAGUGAAGCGGUAUCUACCCAGGGAGCCACGGGUAACUACGGGCCAGCCGCCGCGGUAAUAC
rnacentral:rRNA from 1 species